AUAAAAAUAAUGUGAUCUCAUCCUCUGUUUUCCUUCUUCUUUUUGUUGUUUCUGCUCUCCGUUACGUCACCGAUGGUGAUAUUCUUCUAGACACGACAAUCUGAUCAUCGUUCCUCUUCGUCUAGACACGACGCUCGGUCUCCGAUUCUUGUUUCAACCGAGGAAGGAUCAUCGUUCCUCUUCUUCUAGGAUUGGUGAAGGAUGCUUUGAUGGUCGGUCAGUGAUGAAUCGUGUUUUAUUUGUCUCCUCUGUGGCUACAUCUUCAUCUUCAGAUUGGAGAAUUAGGGAAGAGACAUUCGCAAGCAAAUAUCUAAGGAAGCAAAGCAAAAUCCUUGACUCCUCCAUAGGUCAUGGUGGUAGGGGGCAAUGGGAUUGCUCUCCGUCUUCUUUACUCCCAGAUUCACUCCACUUCCUUCUCAUCCAGGUUUGUAUUGACUUUAAGAUGGGAGCCAUAACUAUGAUCGAUUGGUGAUUGAGAAGGAGGCUGCUAAAAUCUUUCGGAGGUGGUGCAAAAACCAACAGCUUCUGUCAUAACCUUGUCAAAGGAUCACAACCAUUCUUCCCAGCAGCAAUAUGGAGUGGACUAGCUUGUCAUAAUGUCCCAACAAUGGCUCCCUGCAGCUAUAUGGAGGGAUUGUGGAGGAUAAUACUAUGAUCGUUUGGGGAUUGAGGAGGAGGCUGCUAAAUUGGUGAUUUUAAUCAUUUCAACAUGCAUGACAAAGUAAUACGCUACAUAUGUUUUGGACGGACAUGGUAUAUGAGCUACUUCAAACAGCAACUGAGUACCUUUUUCUCCUUUGUAAUGAUCGACAUACUAUGAAGAAGAUAUAUCCAAGCAUGUUGAUUCCCUUUGGAGUUGGACUUGCUUCCUUACAUGAGCAUUAGUAACCAAGAUUUCCAAGUUUCUACAAAAUACCAUCUUUCUGCCAUUGGUCAUUACUCUUCUUAUCUGAGAUCAGCUCGUGAGACAACUGCAACGCAGUCUUCUCUCCCCAAUUCUUAAUUCCAUUUGUAUGCGAUUAAGAUGUUUUUAUGCCACAACUAAGUAUUCUGUCUUAUCAUCGAUUAAAUUUUAUUUACUUUCGAUGUAUGUUCCUAACAUAACUCACUUUGUUUUGUCUUUGCAUGUCUCAAUCUAAUAUUGGCAACCAAUUUUUUGUUUAAGGCAUUCUUGUCACAGUUUAACACCUACGAGUGGAAGUGGAAGAGUGAUUUAGUCUUCUAUCCUUCAUGCUUUCUCGUUAACUCAGAGAAGACACAUGGUGGUGUCGCUGUAAAAAUGGUAAAUAUCUGCUUCGAAAUGGGGGAUCACAUCUUUUUUUCUUGAUCUACUACAGUCAAAGGCUGAUGGUGAAGUUCAUGUUCGCUGGAAAGGAGCUUCUGAAAUUGUCCUGGCAUAGCUACAUCAAUGAAGAUGGUAAUGUGGCACCAAUGACUGAAGACAGGGUUUGUGAAGAUUAUAAUUUAUUAACUCUUUGAAAGCGGGUGUACCUGUGAUUUACCUUUUUGGUUGUCUUGAUGUUUAAGCGGGAUCCAUGUAGACUAGGAGUCAAAGAUUCAGUUCAGCUGUGUCAAAAUGCUGGUGUCUAAGGGCUAUGGAGUGUGGAAUAUUAACUUCAGAUGCAUCUGCAGGUUAACUUCUCGGAAGGUGUGGUUACCGUACUUGUUGUAUUGAUUUUGAGAUCAAGUAAGUUUUAUGAUGAUCCUCAGUUUCGCAGCAAUGUCUCGUUACUGUACAAAAAUUUUGAAGAUUUUCAGCUCCUUUGAUACUUUCAUAUGGGAGUUGUGUUGCUCAUAUUCUCUUCAGUUUGUUAAUUAGAUUAUUUAAGUGAUUCUUGCUGGUAGGGUGACCUUAUGGUGGCAGGCUCAUAGAAGGUGGAAGAGCAUCUUGGUUUUGAUGAUAAGGUCUUUACUUCUAACUUUUUGAGUGGAUUUGUAGGCAGAGAUUGGUCUGGAUGAAUGUGGCUCUCAUGGAUGAAUGUUAGAACGAGGUUGAUGCCAAGGUAAGCUCUGCUUGAAAUGCCUUGGUAAAGACCGGUGCAGGAGAAUGAAUACCUUCCCAUUCCCACCAGUGUUAGGACCGGUAUCUCCAACUCCAACCCCCUGCGCAGAUUUUGAAGUAAUAAUGCCGUUUUUCUCCAUCCAAAAGUGCAAAAAGGCCGCUUCUCCCCCUGAAGAAACUCCUCCACGACCACCUGACUUCCUGCAGAACCCAUCAGCUUCAAAAGCCUCCUUUUGCAAUCCAUCUGCUUUAAUCACAAUCGAUGAGGCCCCUUUGUUCUUGUAUGUAUUCUGCAGAACGCAUCACAAAGUUUCUAUACUGCAUUUGAAUUUGAUCGAAAUGGAAAGACUUGAAAAUCAUAUA